rnacentral:rRNA from 1 species
GUACACGCUGUGACUAGCAUAUCAAUAAGCGGAGGAAAAGAAACUAACAAGGAUUCCCCUAGUAACGGCGAGUGAAGCGGGAAGAGCUCAAAUUUGAAAUCUUAAAGGGUUUCCCUUUACGAAUUGUAGUUUAAAGAAGUGUUUUCUGUUGAGGUUUUGGUAAAAGUUCUUUGGAAUAGGACAUCAUAGAGGGUGAGAAUCCCGUAUUUGACCUUUACUUUCAACUUUGUGAUACACUUUCAAAGAGUCGGAUUGUUUGGGAAUGCAGUCCAAAAUGGGUGGUAAAUUUCAUCUAAAGCUAAAUAUUGGCGAGAGACCGACAGCGAACAAGUACCGUGAGGGAAAGAUGAAAAGAACUUUGAAAAGAGAGUUAAACAGUACGUGAAAUUGUCAAAAGGGAAGCGUUUGACACCAGUGUUGUUUUUCUGAAAAUCAAUUAAAGAACUGUUUAUGCUAAGUUGUUUAGACUUUAUCAGCUAACUGUUUAGUUUUGAGCUUUUCUUUAAUGCACUUUUCAGUUAACAAGUCAACAUCAAUUUCUUUUGCUGUAAAAAAGCUUGAGGAAGGUGGCUUGAGAUUCGUCUUAAGUGUUUAUAGCCUCUUGCCUAUGCAGUCGGAGAGAUUGAGGUCUGCAGCGUAGAUCCUUCGGGGCUAAAUGCAUUUGUGCUAAGUUAUAGCAUUUUAUAGACAACUUGUUGACUAUGAUUUGUCUUGUAGCUUACUCGCUUAUGUUAUUUUACCUACGCUUAGGAUGUUGAGUCGUAGAGCACGCAG